rnacentral:rRNA from 1 species
GACGGCCAGUGAUAAGCUGGAGGAAGGUGAGGAUGACGUCAAGUCAGCAUGCCCCUUACACUCUGGGCUACACACGUGCUACAAUGGCCAGGACAAAGAGAUGCUACCUCGCGAGAGUACGCCAACCUCAAAAACCUGGUCUUAGUUCGGAUUGCAGGCUGCAACUCGCCUGCAUGAAGUCGGAAUCGCUAGUAAUCGCUGGUCAGCUAUACAGCGGUGAAUACGCCCCUGGCCCUUGUACACACCGCCCGUCACAUUCGGGAAGUUGGCUCAGCCCAAAGUCGUUAGUCCAACCUUCUUGGAGGACGACGCCUAAGGUUGAGCUAGUGACUCAAAUGAAGUCGUAACAAGGUAACCA